rnacentral:misc_RNA from 1 species
UAUUGGAAAAACAAAAAAAACAAUAAAACAACACCAAAAU